AGCGUACACGGUGGAUGCCCUGGCAGUCAGAGGCGAUGAAGGACGUGCUAAUCUGCGAUAAGCGUCGGUAAGGUGAUAUGAACCGUUAUAACCGGCGAUUUCCGAAUGGGGAAACCCAGUGUGUUUCGACACACUAUCAUUAACUGAAUCCAUAGGUUAAUGAGGCGAACCGGGGGAACUGAAACAUCUAAGUACCCCGAGGAAAAGAAAUCAACCGAGAUUCCCCCAGUAGCGGCGAGCGAACGGGGAGCAGCCCAGAGCCUGAAUCAGUAUGUGUGUUAGUGGAAGCGUCUGGAAAGGCGCGCGAUACAGGGUGACAGCCCCGUACACAAAAAUGCACAUAUUGUGAGCUCGAUGAGUAGGGCGGGACACGUGGUAUCCUGUCUGAAUAUGGGGGGACCAUCCUCCAAGGCUAAAUACUCCUGACUGACCGAUAGUGAACCAGUACCGUGAGGGAAAGGCGAAAAGAACCCCGGCGAGGGGAGUGAAAAAGAACCUGAAACCGUGUACGUACAAGCAGUGGGAGCACGCUUAGGCGUGUGACUGCGUACCUUUUGUAUAAUGGGUCAGCGACUUAUAUUCUGUAGCAAGGUUAACCGAAUAGGGGAGCCGAAGGGAAACCGAGUCUUAACUGGGCGUUAAGUUGCAGGGUAUAGACCCGAAACCCGGUGAUCUAGCCAUGGGCAGGUUGAAGGUUGGGUAACACUAACUGGAGGACCGAACCGACUAAUGUUGAAAAAUUAGCGGAUGACUUGUGGCUGGGGGUGAAAGGCCAAUCAAACCGGGAGAUAGCUGGUUCUCCCCGAAAGCUAUUUAGGUAGCGCCUCGUGAAUUCAUCUCCGGGGGUAGAGCACUGUUUCGGCAAGGGGGUCAUCCCGACUUACCAACCCGAUGCAAACUGCGAAUACCGGAGAAUGUUAUCACGGGAGACACACGGCGGGUGCUAACGUCCGUCGUGAAGAGGGAAACAACCCAGACCGCCAGCUAAGGUCCCAAAGUCAUGGUUAAGUGGGAAACGAUGUGGGAAGGCCCAGACAGCCAGGAUGUUGGCUUAGAAGCAGCCAUCAUUUAAAGAAAGCGUAAUAGCUCACUGGUCGAGUCGGCCUGCGCGGAAGAUGUAACGGGGCUAAACCAUGCACCGAAGCUGCGGCAGCGACGCUGAUGCGUUGUUGGGUAGGGGAGCGUUCUGUAAGCCUGCGAAGGUGUGCUGUGAGGCAUGCUGGAGGUAUCAGAAGUGCGAAUGCUGACAUAAGUAACGAUAAAGCGGGUGAAAAGCCCGCUCGCCGGAAGACCAAGGGUUCCUGUCCAACGUUAAUCGGGGCAGGGUGAGUCGACCCCUAAGGCGAGGCCGAAAGGCGUAGUCGAUGGGAAACAGGUUAAUAUUCCUGUACUUGGUGUUACUGCGAAGGGGGGACGGAGAAGGCUAUGUUGGCCGGGCGACGGUUGUCCCGGUUUAAGCGUGUAGGCUGGUUUUCCAGGCAAAUCCGGAAAAUCAAGGCUGAGGCGUGAUGACGAGGCACUACGGUGCUGAAGCAACAAAUGCCCUGCUUCCAGGAAAAGCCUCUAAGCAUCAGGUAACAUCAAAUCGUACCCCAAACCGACACAGGUGGUCAGGUAGAGAAUACCAAGGCGCUUGAGAGAACUCGGGUGAAGGAACUAGGCAAAAUGGUGCCGUAACUUCGGGAGAAGGCACGCUGAUAUGUAGGUGAGGUCCCUCGCGGAUGGAGCUGAAAUCAGUCGAAGAUACCAGCUGGCUGCAACUGUUUAUUAAAAACACAGCACUGUGCAAACACGAAAGUGGACGUAUACGGUGUGACGCCUGCCCGGUGCCGGAAGGUUAAUUGAUGGGGUCAGCGCAAGCGAAGCUCUUGAUCGAAGCCCCGGUAAACGGCGGCCGUAACUAUAACGGUCCUAAGGUAGCGAAAUUCCUUGUCGGGUAAGUUCCGACCUGCACGAAUGGCGUAAUGAUGGCCAGGCUGUCUCCACCCGAGACUCAGUGAAAUUGAACUCGCUGUGAAGAUGCAGUGUACCCGCGGCAAGACGGAAAGACCCCGUGAACCUUUACUAUAGCUUGACACUGAACAUUGAGCCUUGAUGUGUAGGAUAGGUGGGAGGCUUAGAAGUGUGGACGCCAGUCUGCAUGGAGCCGACCUUGAAAUACCACCCUUUAAUGUUUGAUGUUCUAACGUUGACCCGUAAUCCGGGUUGCGGACAGUGUCUGGUGGGUAGUUUGACUGGGGCGGUCUCCUCCUAAAGAGUAACGGAGGAGCACGAAGGUUGGCUAAUCCUGGUCGGACAUCAGGAGGUUAGUGCAAUGGCAUAAGCCAGCUUGACUGCGAGCGUGACGGCGCGAGCAGGUGCGAAAGCAGGUCAUAGUGAUCCGGUGGUUCUGAAUGGAAGGGCCAUCGCUCAACGGAUAAAAGGUACUCCGGGGAUAACAGGCUGAUACCGCCCAAGAGUUCAUAUCGACGGCGGUGUUUGGCACCUCGAUGUCGGCUCAUCACAUCCUGGGGCUGAAGUAGGUCCCAAGGGUAUGGCUGUUCGCCAUUUAAAGUGGUACGCGAGCUGGGUUUAGAACGUCGUGAGACAGUUCGGUCCCUAUCUGCCGUGGGCGCUGGAGAACUGAGGGGGGCUGCUCCUAGUACGAGAGGACCGGAGUGGACGCAUCACUGGUGUUCGGGUUGUCAUGCCAAUGGCACUGCCCGGUAGCUAAAUGCGGAAGAGAUAAGUGCUGAAAGCAUCUAAGCACGAAACUUGCCCCGAGAUGAGUUCU
rnacentral:rRNA from 1 species